rnacentral:rRNA from 1 species
UACGUAGGGGGCAAGCGUUGUCCGGAAUCAUUGGGCGUAAAGAGCGUGUAGGCGGCCAGAAAAGUCCGCUGUGAAAACUCGAGGCUCAACUUCGAGCUGUCGGUGGAAACUUUCUGGCUAGAGUCCGGAAGAGGAGAAUGGAAUUCCUGGUGUAGCGGUGAAAUGCGCAGAUAUCAGGAGGAACACCAAUGGCGAAGGCAGCCCCCUGGGAUAACACUGACGCUCAUGCACGAAAGCGUGGGGAGCAAACAGG